AGUGAACGCUGGCGGUAGGCCUAACACAUGCAAGUCGAACGGCAGCACAGUAAGAGCUUGCUCUUACGGGUGGCGAGUGGCGGACGGGUGAGGAAUACAUCGGAAUCUACUUUUUCGUGGGGGAUAACGUAGGGAAACUUACGCUAAUACCGCAUACGACCUACGGGUGAAAGCAGGGGAUCUUCGGACCUUGCGCGAUUGAAUGAGCCGAUGUCGGAUUAGCUAGUUGGCGGGGUAAAGGCCCACCAAGGCGACGAUCCGUAGCUGGUCUGAGAGGAUGAUCAGCCACACUGGAACUGAGACACGGUCCAGACUCCUACGGGAGGCAGCAGUGGGGAAUAUUGGACAAUGGGCGCAAGCCUGAUCCAGCCUUACCGCGUGGGUGAAGAAGGCCUUCGGGUUGUAAAGCCCUUUUGUUGGGAAAGAAAAGCAGCAGGUUAAUACCCCGCUGUUCUGACGGUACCCAAAGAAUAAGCACCGGCUAACUUCGUG
rnacentral:rRNA from 1 species